rnacentral:rRNA from 1 species
CCUACGGGUGGCAGCAGUAGGGAAUCUUUCACAAUGGGCGAAAGCCUGAUGGAGCAACGCCGCGUGCAGGAAGAAGGCCUUCGGGUUGUAAACUGCUUUUAUAAGAGAGGAAUAUGAUGGUGACUUAAGAAUAAGGAUUGGCUAACUACGUGCCAGCAGACGCGGGCAUACGUAGGUGCCGAGCAUUAUGCGUAGUAUCUGGGUGUAAAGAGUUGCGGAGGUUGCAGGAUGAAUAGCUAGUGAAAUCUGGUGUCUCCACCAUUCAGACUAUUAGCUAAACUGUGAAGCUCGAGACUGGUAGGGGUGACUGGAAUUGCAAGUGUAGCAGUGAAAUCCGUAGAUAUUAGAAGGAACACCGGUGGCGAAGGCGGGUUACUGGAACGUUACUGACGCUAAGGCACGAAAGCGUAGGGAGCAAACAGGAUUAGAUACCCCGGUAGUC